rnacentral:rRNA from 1 species
UACAGAGGGUGCGAGCGUUGUUCGGAAUUAUUGGGCGUAAAGGGCGCGUAGGCGGUGCGGUAAGUCACGUGUGAAAUCUCCUGGCUCAACUGGGAGCUUGCAGGCGAAACUGCCGUGCUGGAGUGUGGGAGAGGUGCGUGGAAUUCCUGGUGCAGCGGUGAAAUGCGUAGAUAUCAGGAGGAACACCUGUGGCGAAAGCGGCGCACUGGACCACAACUGACGCUGAGGCGCGAAAGCUAGGGGAGCAAACAGG